rnacentral:rRNA from 1 species
UGACGUGCUUGCACUGAAUUGACGUUGGAUUCCCAGUGAGCGGCGGACGGGUGAGUAACACGUGGGCAACCUGCCCUGAAGCGGGGGAUAACAUCUGGAAACAGGUGCUAAUACCGCAUAAGACCACGGUUUCACAUGGAACUGAGGUAAAAGAUUUAUCGGUUUGGGGUGGGCUCGCGUCCGAUUAGGUAGUUGGUGAGGUAACGGCCCACCAAGCCGACGAUCGGUAGCCGACCUGAGAGGGUGAUCGGCCACAUUGGGACUGAGACACGGCCCAAACUCC